CUUUUAAAUGGUGGUAUAUAUAAUUAAUCAAACCUUUUAAAUUUAACAACAAAUUAAAUUUGAUUUUCAUUUUAAAACAAGAUAUGGUAAAGGCAGACAAAACAGUAAGUGAGAGAUUAUCAUUUAAACUCUAUCUGUGUUUACCUUUUAUACCUACGUCCUGUGAAACCAUGGUGAGGACGAACGCUUUGAAAAUGGCUGCCCCCAUAGAGUGUAGGAUUUAAUUUGUCUCAUAUUUACAUAGUGGAAGUGUUUCAAUCGAGAUAUUUGCACCAAAUUAGCCAGGUAAUUUUUACAUAUUUUUCUUGAAUUUUAAAUGAUUUUUAAAGGACAGUUUCUCGUUUCUUGUGUCGACAAAUGUUAAUUUUAUCUAUUUAAUCUAAUGCUAGUGUUGCCUUUUAACAUUAAGUCCAACGUUUUAAAUUUGAUAUACUUGUCAAUUAAGGUAUAGAAUACAUUUUGUAUAUGUCAUCAAUUGUUCAAACACGUCUUUAUAAUUUGAUUCGUAUAAUGCAACCGGAUAAACUAAAUGGAGAAGUUUUGUUUUAAAAGAUUAAAACUAAGUGCUGAAGUUGAGAAAAAGAUCAUUUAAAAAUAGUGGAUGGCAUAUUGAAUCCAAAUUGUUUGAAUGGUAUAUAGAUACAAAGUAUAAUUUCCACUUCUUUUUAUAAAAACCUUGUCUUAUUAUGUGGAAGUUUCAGUGACAAGUUGCUAUACUUGAAGGUAUCGCCAUACCACUUGACAUAAAGUCUUAGCAGUUACAUUUCUGAUAAUUGUAAAUUGAGAAAGUGCUUUCUUUUACUCUUUUCUGAUAAUUGUAAAUUGAGAAAGUGCUUUCUUUUACUUUCUGAUAAUUGUAAAUUGAGAAAGUACUUUCUUUUACUCUUUUAAUUCCAUUCUUCUCUGUCUUUCUUCUUUUCAUUUGAAAAAAAUCAAUUUAUGAUUUUUUUGUUAUUUUGGUGAUGAGAUACCAUUAAGCAAAAAAUGUAUACAACAUUAAAACAUACAUUUUGUACUUGUAUUGCUGUUUUUCAUUUCGACGGUCAUUUUUGAGGUCUAAAACGAUGAAUUAGAUAUCUAAUAUUAUGUAAAGCCGGAGACAUUAAAAUAACUAUUUAAUACAAAAGAGGUAUUAUAUGUAACACUAAAUUGAUACCAAUCUGUUAAAUAAUAUUUAUACAGCCGUUUGUAAUAUUCGAUAUUUAAAGUUUUAUUAAACAAUACCAUCAAAAGUAAAAUUUGUAAAUUUCAUUUAGACAUAAGAUUACAUUCAUACCGGGAGUAAUGAACUUUUAAUUAUAUUUAAUUAUUAGUUCGUGCAAAUACAUUUAAUUAAAUUAGAUUAAAUCUAUAGGGAAAAACUUCACCUGAAGGUUGAGACCAAACUUUCCCAACAUAUGCUACCCAUUUAUUCAAACAUUUAAAAAAAUCUUUUGAGCUUCUUUCUAACCGUAUUACGGGAUUAUUGUGGGUUAUUGUACAUGACAUAAUCAUUCUUUUGUUGGGUGGUUUUCAUAUUUUAUAAGCAAUUCAUCGAAUGUAAUAUUGAUUUUGAGGAGAAUAAACCAUAGGACAACAUUGACAUUUCCCUCAAACUUGAAUAUAAUAUUUGAUAAUAAAUUAUGCAGCACUUGAAACUAUAUUGGACUUAUUGUACCGUCACACAAAUCUGUCCCAAUGGUGAAUGUUAAAUUUUUUAAGAAUGAUUGAAUUAUAUGAAAUUUUCAUCCUUUUUAUCGCGUGUAAAUAUAAGCUGUCCUAUUGUUAGGAUUUUUAUUUAAGAAAUUAAACCAAAACAUAUAACAAUCACGGCUUUUCGAUAUUAUAUAUUUAUAGAAAUUGAUGAGGGAUGCAAUUGGGUCUUUCUAAUAACAAUAACAAAUAAACGGAUAUGUUGGGUAUACAUUCAUUAAACAGUAAAGCAACGAUACAUAUACAAAACAAAAAUGUAAAUGUCUAUACCGUACCAAUAUGUGGAGCUGUCAUCCGGGUCUCCUGAAGGGACAGUUACGUAACAAUAUGGCGUUGUUAAACGCAUUUUUUAUAAUAUCAACCUUUCUAAGAAAAGAUAAUGAGACAAACAGAAAGAAGAAACAUGUGUCAGAACUGUAUGCUCUUCUAAAUUAUGCACCGUUGUUCAUUCCUCGUUUGUUACAUGUUAUCAUUUUUAUUUUGCUAAUGCAUUUCAUAUCUUCAAUAGAUUAAAAAAAUAUACACAUUAUCGAAAAAAAAUAUAUACGUUUGCAAGAAGUUACUAAUAAAGCAAAUUAAAGUACUCAAAAUGCUGCUGUAAGAUCAAGUCAUUCUACAUUGAAAUAUAUCCUGGAGUAUUUCGGUGUAGAUUACAUACAGCAACGUCACGAACAGUACUAGGAGAUACGACCUUGUACGUACUUACUUAAUCCUUUUCGUACAUAGAUGUACGCGAGGUCAUCACAAAAAAUCCUCCACUGUUGCCUAUCUUGUACCUUUCUGGUUGCCUAGCCUAAUGGCAUUACCGUGCUUAUCAAUUAUCCCUCUCUUGUGAGUCGAUAUAUAUUUCUUAUGUCUUCUUCUCUUUCUCGCUACAUUCCUGCUUUCGCAAGACACGUGCACAUUCAUAAGAUCGAUUGUUAGAUGUAUAUACAAGUUCCCGCAAUUUGAAGUUUCUUUUGGUUUGGUUUCCGUAGCGGUACAUUUCAUUACGUAGCGUGUGUAAUACAACACUGCUCCUUUUAAAUUCUGGGAUUAGGAUCAGGCAAAUGGCGUCCAGCUACACACGAUUUAAUGCAGUUCUCAAAAUAAGAGAUUUCUGUCCUCCCAUUUUUUUUUUUUAGAUCACCCCUAGUUUUUGGUGGGGUUCGUGUUGUUUAUUCUUUAGUUUUCUAUGUUGUUUCAUGUGUACUAUUGUUUGUCUGUUUGUCUUUUUUCAUUUUUAACCAUGGCGUUGUCAGUAUUUAAGAUUUCUGAGUUUGACUGUCCCUUUGGUAUCUUUCGUGCCUCUUUUCUUGUAAAAUUUUACAGGUAAAUUAAUUCAAAUUGGUAAAUUGCAGGUAUUCCAUGGAAUAAGCAGCAUCAACCAUGUCCAGUUUGGUACCAGGGAGUUUAUUUUACGCCACCGGAUUAAACAGAAAACAUACUCCAACACCCACAACUAUAUCAAAUGAGGAAUUAGAGAAAAGAUAUGCCAGG
rnacentral:lncRNA from 1 species